UCAGUCGACUCCUACGGGGAGGCAGCAGUGGGGAAUAUUGCACAAUGGGGGAAACCCUGAUGCAGCCAUGCCGCGUGUGUGAAGAAGGCCUUCGGGUUGUAAAGCACUUUCAGUAGGGAGGAAGGUAGUGUAGUUAAUACCUGCAUUAUUUGACGUUACCUACAGAAGAAGCACCGGCUAACUCCGUGCCAGCAGCCGCGGUAAUACGGAGGGUGCGAGCGUUAAUCGGAAUUACUGGGCGUAAAGCGCAUGCAGGCGGCCUGUUAAGUCAGAUGUGAAAGCCCGGGGCUUAACCUCGGAAUUGCAUUUGAAACUGGCAGGCUAGAGUCUUGUAGAGGGGGGUAGGAAUUUCAGGUGUAGCGGUGAAAUGCGUAGAGAUCUGAAGGAAUACCAGUGGCGAAGGCGGCCCCCUGGACAAAGACUGACGCUCAGAUGCGAAAGCGUGGGGAGCAAACAGGAUUAGAUACCCUGGUAG
rnacentral:rRNA from 1 species